rnacentral:lncRNA from 1 species
GGGUAAAUGAACUGGAUGGGAGCGGAGGAGCUGCCAAGCACAAGGGUCCUGCUUUUACAAUGGAAGGUGCUCCAGAAGCCACGUGAUCUAGCUAGACGCAAAGGGGUCCUUGCAUUACAAAUGGAAACACACUUAGACAUCCUGAGGAAUAUUUUGAAAGAGGGAUCAUGGGGAUGAGGCAGAAUUUUUGAUGAGAAAAGGGGUGGGAGGAGGAAGAACUUCAGGGUUGCUGCAAAUGUGCAGUGUCUGCACUCAACGGCAAAUGAAACUGACCGUAGACUAUGAAGACCAAGCAGUGGGUGCUCCUGUGAAUAUCUGGAAAUCUUCUCACGGUGGGAUCGCUGAGUUCUUCCACAAUUUUGCUUGGUGAGCACAUGCUCACUGAUUAGUCUUUAUGUUCUACUUCAACAGAACUUAAAGAUUCACCUGUGUCUUCCAGGGGAGGUGGCUUGUCACCUGGUGAUUCCCUUUUCAGCACGUUGACACACAAAGCAAAAGAUAGCUUUUAAAGACGCCAUCACCCCCAAGUUAAUGAAGAUUAUUAUGUCUGAUUGUAUGGACAAGAAUUAUCACCAUUAUCAUGUCUGAACAUGUGGACAAUUGUUUUCGUCUUGGUGCAAGAUCUGCUUGAAGAGCGCGUUCUCCUUGGGCGGGAGGCUCACGGCCCGCAUCAUUCCGGCUCCUCCGCUGGUCCCGCCACCACCUGGUUCGGACAGUCUGUUUGUCCGACCGCCGCCACUGCCGUCCCGGGCUCCUUCAGCCUUGAAUACCCCGAUCUACCGCCACCACCACGCCUCAUGUGUCACCAUGUCGCCUUUCCCGGACACCCCCUUCUCCUUCUUGUCUUUUUUCCUUUCUCAACGCUGCCGCCCCCCACGAGUCUCUGUCGGCGGUUCACGUGGCAACUGAACAGUCAUAGCUUCUAUUUCUUAUCCUGCUGUUAUCUGUUGGUGGGUUUGGGCAAGGUGCUGAACAUCUAACCUCUAUUCUUUAUCACUAUUUGGGAACAGUUGGGGAACUCCACUGCAACGGAUAAUCCCUGGGAACUCUGUGGAUCUGUAAAUACAGGUUAGAGGCAAGAGAAACCAGUAGGAGGUGCUGAGCAGAACCAGGCUGAGGGUGCUGGCUCUGAGCUCUGCUCUGAAAGACCUGUCACUUGGGCAGGUCGCUGAGAGCUCUGUACACUCAUAUUUUCCUGUCUGUCCUGGCUUCAAAGUCUCAGUAAGCUACUUGCUUCCAAGACACGUAAGACUCCCUAAAAAGAGGACCCACAAAAGUACCUUCGUCAACUGGCACUUUUCAAACUUUGUAUGUUCUCACUGCCUUCAGUGUGCAACUGAGUUGACCGACGUCAGUUGUGUUACUGCACAUUCAACUCUUAGGCAGGAGAAGACUGAAGAAGGUCCGCCAGGUAAAAACUAAAGGAAAGCAGAAGUUUUAUAAACAUUGCUUUCUGGAUACCUGGAUGUGUGACAUAGACUGAAAUAUCAUGGGAGGAAAAAGCAAUGAGUGGCCCAAAGCUGUAUCUACAGAGAGGAACUUAGAAUUUACUCUGAUCAUUUUAUUUUAGAUGGAUAAACUAUAUUUUCAAAGUUCAAAAUGGAAUUUUUAAGAAAAUUGACGAAGUAGCCCAAUGCAAAUUCCAUUUUUUCUGGAUGUCUCUUCAGUGCUAAAUUGUGCCCUAAAGUCUUGGUUUACCCAUCUUGUAAAAAAAAAAAAUCUGAGUCCUCUUUCCAGUGAUUUCUCUUAGGAAUAAGAGGGGAGAAGGAUCUAUUAUGAGUAAUUGGAGAACUGAAAGCAAAAUGAUUUUAAAAUAUGAAAGGAGCUACUGAUAACAUUUUGGAUCAUUCUUAUCAACUAUUCAUAGGACAUAAAUUAUAAAUAUAUAUCAUGGAAAGUAGUGUAUAUCAGAACAUAAAUGCACAGCAUAUAUUGUCAAUAUGCUUUUUUUU